UUGAGAUAACUGUGGUAAUUCUAGAGCUAAUACAUGCGUAAAGACCCAACUUUUUGGACGGGUUGUAUUUAUUAGAUACAAAACCAAUCGGUUUCGGACGUUUUGGAUGAUUCAUGAUAAACGUACGGAGCGUAUGGCGUGAGCCGACGCUGUAGCAGUCAGGUUUCUGACCUAUCAGCUUUCGACGGUAGGGUAUUGGCCUACCGUGGCAUUGACGGGCAACGGAGAAUUAGGGUUCGAUUCCGGAGAGGGAGCCCGAGAAACGGCUACCACAUCUAAGGAAGGCAGCAGGCGCGCAAAUUACCCAAUCCUGACAUAGGGAGGUAGUGACAAGAAAUAGCAAAUCAGGCCUCUUCGAGGUUGUGGUAUUGGAAUGAGUAGAAUUUAAAUCUCUUUACGACUAUCCAUUGGAGGGCAAGUCUGGUGCCAGCAAGCCGCGGUAAUUCCAGCUCCAAUAGCGUAUAUUAAAGUUGUUGCGGUUAAAAAGCUCGUAGUUGGAUUUCUGUUGAGGAUGACCGGUCCGCUCUUUGAGCGCGUAUCUGGUUCAACCUUGGGCAUCCUCUUGGGGAACGCUACUGUGCUUGAUUGCAUGGGGCGGUAUUCAAGACUUUUACUUUGAGGAAAUUAGAGUGUUCACUGCAAGCGUUAGCANUUGAAUACAUUAGCAUGGAAUAAUAAUAUAGGACCUUGGGACUAUUUUGUUGGUUUCUAGAACUAAGGUAAUGAUUAAUACGGACAAUUG
rnacentral:rRNA from 1 species